GCUCCGCUCGAUCUCCUCCGCGCCUGGAAAACAGAUCGAGCCACCACUUCCACGCUGCGCCGCAAUCCCUCCUUCCCUCCCUCCGCCCCGCUGCCGCCGCCGCAAUGUAGCUGCUGGCCAAGGCGCCCGUGCUGGGCUGCACGGGGAAGAGACGUCACCACCCGCGCGACGCAAUCCCUCCCUCCCUCCCCAAUCCUCUCUGGGCAGUUCCGACUCGGGGGCCCCGGCGCCGUCGCUGCCGCCGGCGCCGCCACGCCGCAAUGGAGCUGCUGGCCAAGGCGCCCGUGCUGGGCUGCACGGGGAGGAGGCGUUGCCGCCGGCGCGCCGCAAUCCCUCCCUCCCUCCCCGAUCCUCUCUUCUGUGCUUUGGUUGGUGAAUUUGUUCAUGUCCUGACUAUUUUGAGUGCCAACCUGACAGAGAGCUCCGAGGUGCAGGCUUGGGAGGGAAGCUGAGGCGGACACUAGGAGACCUCACUGCCCUCAUGCUAUUAGACCUGAGCAACAACCAAAUUGGCAGCGGGGGCAGUUGAGGAGGCGGCGGCUCGCGUGUUGAGGAGGCGGCGGCGUCCUCCGCCUCCUGGCCUCCUGGGAUCCGAGCGAGUCAUCUUGCCUGGGCACCAGCGCUGGGAGGGAGAUGAGCCGAGGAUGUACGUGUGUUUGGGCGCUGGGGCUAGCACCGUCCAUCGAAUGGAGUUUUCUUCCACGCGUCGUGCGGAGGGAGUGGGUAUGCACCAAAUGCGUUUUCUUCCGAUUAGUUGAGGGGGGAGAGUUAAGUAGGAAGCUUGGUGGGGUAAGUCCCUUUGUCAAAGAAGACCAAAUGUACUGAUCUUACCUCGAACAAAUUUGUAGAUGGUGAUGAUUAGAUGCAAACAUUGCAAACAAGCCCACCAUAAAACUUGCACGAUGGGAGCCAUAGCUGUUCAACCUGGCGCCAAUGGGAAUGCAAGGUGCCUGUCUGAUAGAGAUCCAACGCUAACGAUCACCGUAGGAUGAAGUUAGGAUACUUGCCAAGAGCUGAGAUCCAUCACCCAAGACCACAUCCACAUCCAUCGCAACCCGAGGAUGCCAAAUCUUCCCCCUGAAACCGAGAGGAAUCAGAACUUCACUCGAUCAAUUCUACUUUGGGAUCCACUACACAUCAUGCGAACUGGAAUCGGAUGCUGGAACCUGAGUACGUUAGGCAUCACGAGCAGCGAUUCCUUUCUUGCAAGUUGGGGCGCCAAUCUGUACCUUUUCCUAGCCAUGAAGCAUCCAUAGUCUAGAUGCAAAGUACAUCACAACGCAAAACGCAUUUGUAGAGAUCUGCGGGGGAGCACUGGGAAUUCAGAACAUGGCCAUUUCAGAAAUCAGAGUGCAAGUAUCAACAAGAUAGUUGACGGGCACCAAUACUAGAUUACUGUAGAUAUACCUCCGGCUCAGGUUCUAGUUUUCUAUCCAAAAGCUAGUCCUAAACCACUUCUUCAGGGUUUACUGCAUGCUACUUCCACGGCCAUAUGUUCAGCCACGCAGUUCAGUAGUCUCCAACUGCAACAGGGGUGACAAAAGGGGUGGCCAUCAAUAGUUAACAUCUAGGGCACGACGUGAUGAAGGCAGGGGCGGAUCCAGGGCCCGGGCUGCCCGGGCUGCAGCCCGGGGCGAGACCAUGGAGUCCCUUUAACCUAUGUGCUGUUUAGCCUAACAAAAUGAGGCUUAGGAGACAAAAUUAGACUAUUUUAGGUGUGAUUCAACAGCUCAGCCCGGGGCGCAAUCCCGUUCUGGAUCCGCCCCUGGAUGAAGGUGACCUAAUCUCCACAGCUUGACAUACUUGUCAUGGCCUGUGGAAGCCACCAGGCUGGAGCUUGAUGAGGCCAGUCCGGCUACGGCUGAGAUGAGGCUGUCGUGCGCUGCAAUGGUCAUGCUCCAGUUCUCUGCCAUGUCCCAUAGCUCCAGAGACUGCAACAUUCGGCACAACCCACAGGUAAGCACGAAAGACAAUUCAAAGACGAACCGAGCAUGUCGAAAAACAACAGCUGCAAUCAUCAUGGAAUUGUGCUAAAACAAUCUUAACUCGUGUAUAUUUGAGAGACCGAGUUAAGAUGUGCCUUGAUCUAUUUGUGAUGAGUGAUUGACUAGAUGAUUUGAGGCUUUACUGGUUGAGUUCAUAUUUCAUAUGUGAAUGAUUAUACUAAUGGCUAACCGGACGUGUUGUGUUGUGCGCGUUGUGUUGUGGUAUUUGUGUAAACCGUAUGGUGUGUGUUGUGUCUCUUGGCUUGUGAUGUGCAGGGGUAGGAUGCAACAUGGCGGUCGACAGCAUGAGGUGAAGGUCAAGCGAAAGCUUCAUGCCGAUGUACUAGGGCUGUGAAGGGUAGACACGAGUAGGCUUGGACCAAGGGACCCGAGGAGUCCGGACGGAUUCAUGGGCGAUCCACAUGGUGCAUGGAAGAGCAAGAGUAUAUGGACAGUGAUGGAAAUGGUGUCGGUCGAGUCAAGCGGGAUGGAGGCGAGUCGAGUAGGCGCCCUGGGAGCCGGGAGCGAAAGACUUGGAGGCGUCGGAAGCUUGAUGGAGGCCGGACACCUGUCGACAUCGAUGAGUCACGUCGGGUGCGACAUGCAAGAGGGUUUGACCAUUUUGGCCUCAAAACCGAAGGUGAGUCACGCCUGCAGGGUGUGCAAAGAGGGUUUGACCGGUAUAGCUUCAAAACUGGGGGACGAGUCCGGUGUGGCUGGACGGCGUCGAGUUGGAGGAUGCGUGGCACCAUCGCGAAGCUUGCGUCGAGGCGAAGCUAAGUCGUGAAGGCGUCGGGUCCGUCCGAUGUACGAGAAAAAGUUGGACGAUUUUACCCUAGGGGGUAUUUGAGUUGUGUGCUUCAUGUAAGGGCAUUCUGAUCAUUUUCCGGAUGCAUAUAUAUAUGUGGAGAUGGCUGUUGGGGUAGCCACCUCUUUGGGCUAGUUUGGUGGUGGCCUUCUCAUUUGUUUGUGAGAGGCUUUGUUAGAGGUGUGAGAAGAGAGGAGUGGAUCUUUGUGUUGAUCUUUUUACCAAUGCUACAGUUAAUUUACUAUUGUUUAGUCC